UAUACGCAGUAAAAAUGCCAUCAGCCAUCAGCUGUAGGCCAUGUUAUGAGUUCUUAACAUUGCAUUUUUAACGCCUAAAUGUAUGCAGCCGUGAAAAACGGAGAUUGAAGAAAACGCCUUUAAAUCUGUAUCCAGCGCAUCAAAAUCACUUGAAUACAUCAUUUUAUUCAUCUUAUUCAUUUUAUCAUUUUAUUCAUUCAGAGGAGGCAUAUAGAUAUAAAGACGCAAUGAUGUUUAUAUUAAUAAGUAAAAGUAAAAUAUUAUCAAAUUAAUUGGUCCAAAAAAAAAAAAUACUUUCAACUACAUUCCUGAGUAAAUUGUACAUCAGAAACGGGAAAGGAUGUAUCAGCGAGAGCGCACAGCACAUACAAUAAUCUCCAACGCCCUUUCCAACAGGCAAAGCAAAGAUAAACACGUGCAGCCGUUGCCGUGGGUAGCCUUUUUGCCGCUUUUGCUAGCGGCACGCCAGAGCAGGGAAACAACUCACAUACACACCCGAUCUCGCAAGCGUGUGCAUACGUAUGGGUGUAAAUCAUUGCCCAUCCGCAACCGUGUCGAUCGCUUGCUGCGAACCGUUCAAUCGGAUCUGAAGCAUAUCGAAAGUGAAGGCAAGCAGCGGAAGAUGGAGAGCAAAAAGCAAACACGGGUUCUGUGCGCGAUCGAGCUCAAGGAACAAAACAAAAAAAAAUAGUACUUUGCGCCCACACAGAUACACGCACAUAUACAAAGUAGCAUUUUUAUUGCCACUUGCGUGCUCACUGCGGACGGCCGGAAGCUGAAGCAGAAAUAGGAGGAAGAAAAAAAGGGGGAAAAAAUGCGCCAGGAAUGAAACGCCGAUCAUGCCUCGGUGCCCGUGGUCAGCAACCGGGGGUGCGCGUUUUUUUUUUGCGUAGGACCGUGGUUCGAUACGAGACGUCGACUUGCGACGAUGAAGAAAGUGCCCACCACGGCCACCGCCAGCCGGUGAAGAUUAACAAAGCGAAGAUUAUGGUGAGUUGGGAGGACAGUGGGCAGAAAGUGGGGGGAUGAUGGGUGUUUCGGGGAGAUGUUUGAGAUGAACAAAGAAUGUACAGUGCACGCAUAAAGCAGGGCAGCAGGGAAGGGAAAAGGUAAACGAUAACGGCAAAACUGGACCACGCAAGACAAGUGCCAGCGGCCCUUGCGCGUCACUCUUCAUCCCCUGUACCCUCACUCCAACCCCCUCCUCACGUUUUAUCUCUCUCUCUCUCUCUCUCUCUCUCUCUCUCUCUCUCUCUCUCUCUCUCUCUUUCUUCUUCUUCGUCUCUCAUCCCUUCCCUUCCACCCUCGCGGAGGCACGCGGAUGCUGGGCCCAGGUGGAUUUUUCUGUCAUGUUGGCUGGACAAAACGGCGUGUGGAAGCGGGGCUGCAUGGCGAAAGCGCACGAAACAAAGGAAUCGUCAGCGUCGUCGUGGUCGUCGUGGUCGUCGUCGUCGUCGUCGUAGUGCACGAGAUCGCGCUCAUCGCGCUUCCCGCUUAGCUCCGCCCACCGCCCCUGAUACUAUGUGUCGGCCGAUGAACCACUUAGAAAUGUUUGCCGCCCGAAGCCCGAAAGCCCGACCAAAAGUACACCCGAAACGGCCAUGGCUGCCUGCCGUUCUAACGUUCCUUUUUUUUUUCAUAUACAUAUGCUUUACUGUUUGCGGCUGGCGGGGAAGUGCGUACCAAGCGUGAGUGCGUGUGAGUUCCCUUCGCAAGGCCAAGCGGGUGUUCAUUUCCGUGGCCAUGUGUUCAUUUCCGCCCAGUGUGCCGAGAUUGCUAUUGCUGCUGCUGCUGCUGCUGCGUUGCUUUUCACUGUUAGUGCGUGGCAGCAGUCUGUUCUACUCUCUUUCGUGCGUCCACAUCGCCGCGUACCGACCUGUGCUUGUGGAUGUGUGCGUGUGUGUGUGUGUGUGUACACUUGCAACAUCGUCCCCUGUAGCGAGCUAGUCGGAACCGAUAGAAAGGCGCAUCUAUAGCGAGCAGCAUCCUGCCGCUAUAGGCACAAAGAAAAAAGCCCUGCCAGAGUAACGGGAUGCCCAUCGGCGUGCACACCAAUCAUCAAUCAAUCAUUUUCAAAAGCAAAAUGGAAGCGAAGGUGAACGGCGUACGCGUAAAGUGACUUUGAUUGUGUAUGUGUGUGUGUGUGUGUGUGUGUGUGUGUGUGUAUGUACUAUUUUUCUUGUUUCUUUUUUUCCUUUUCUCUCUGGUUUGGUGGUGUUGUUUUUUCGUUUAAUUUGUCUUCAAUCAACAUUCAACCGUGGCUUGGAACGUCCAAGCACUUCGAGAUAGUAAUCGGUAGACGAAAACCGACAAAACAAAGCAUGACAAAAAACGCAUUUUCACACACACACACACACACACACAUACUUGUAUCACACUCACACAUUUUAGGUCAAAAGGGGUGCAAGCGUACAUACAAAUAAAAAUACAAAAGAAGCAAAAACAACACACUAACAAAUUAAUUAAUCGAACCAUAACCCAUCAGCCACAAGGGAAACAAAGACACCCAUUCAAGCGGUUUCAAACUAGCGCGAGCAUCCUCGUACCUUGGGGGUGAGUGUGUAUGGGUGUGUGUGUGUGUGUAUGUGUAUGUGCGUUUGUGUGUUUUUCAACAGGAGUCCACUUGAGCAGACUACCUCUUCUCCCUCGCCGCCCAUAUUCCAACCUUCCAAUUUAUAGACUCCAGUGAUCUCUUGCGUGUGCGUGUAAAAGUGCGUGUGUGUGUGUGUGUGUGUGUGUGUCUGUGUAAGUAGGCCGUUCCAUGUGGACCGAUAGCGCCAGGGGAUGGGAAGAAAAACCACCUUAUGAGACGGUUGACUUCUUAUUUUAUUUGGAAGUUUUCUUUCUAACCUUUUUUUUCUUCGCUUCUUCUCUUCUUCAAACAAGACGAUAGGCGGUGGGAAAACGGGCACAGUGAGGUACCUUUAGUGCGUGACAACAACAUGUCUGCAACGGGGCCGUGUCAGAAGGGGCCAGGCGGGAAGGGAAGAGGGGAAGGAAAGAGUUGCUACAUUUUAAUAUACGUGGGGCACACACACACACACACACACACACACACACACACACACACACACACGCACACAUGUCAUCUCGCAGCUUUUAAAAAUGGCAACAAAGUGGUUACAAUUUUAAGUGGACUUUUUGUUUUUUUUUUCUUUUUUCCUCCCGUUUUCUCAUCGAGUCGCUGGGAGGUUUUUUUUGUAGUUGUGUAUGUUGAUUUUAUUACUUUCCAGAUUUCUACUUCUUCUUCUUCUUUUCACUUGUGUUGCUCCCCUGUCUCGUAAUUCCACUUGAAAAUCAAUAACGAGCUGGUGGGCUGGCCCGGGGGGAGCUUAGGUGCGGACGCGCUGAGACGGUUAAUGCUCGUUCUGUCGCUGCUGGCGGGGGCUGUGAGCAAAAAACAAAAAUAAUUCUGCCUCUUCGAACUACUGAACAAGCAAGAACUAGAAUCUUUUGGGCAUUACUUAAAAAUCGAACUUAAAUUAAAAUCAAAUCACCGAACGGGCAAAGCAAUAUUGUGAUUAUAGGCGAGUUUACUCGAAACUGAUACCUUUUUUCGUAUUUAAAAAAAUGCGUGCAAGAUCACCUAUGUUGAAGGUCCCACCCCAAACCGUGUGUGUGUGUGCUGUACAAGCGCCAUUGGGCUUCUUGCUUUUUGUUCUUCUUCGUCAUUUUUCGGUCCCACCGGUAACACGAUCUCUCUAUAUUGGGUGACAGUUUGAGCGAUUUAUGUAGCCGAACCGCGCAAUCGAUCGGAAGGCAAUAAAGCAAACGCACGGCAGCGCACGUCUCGUUCAGCCCUUGUGGUGCCUUCUUGGUGUGCUAUUAUUAGGGCCAGCAGGUUUGAAGUUGUGUUAAAGUUUGCCGCCGUGCCGCUAAAAAUAAUGUUUCGAAAAAUGCAAAUAAACAUUAAGGUGAAAUUAAAUUGAAAAAAAAAAAAAAAAGAUAUUUAACCAUAUCACUAACGUGCUAGGUAGUACCUGAAACGAGUGUGUGUGUGUGUGUGUGUGUGUGUGUGUGUGUGUGUGUGUGUGUGACAGAGAGAGAGAGAGAGAGAGAGAGAGAGAGAGAGAGAGAGAAAGAGUGUGUGAAAUUGUGUUGUGCAUUUAUUAAACAUUGAUUGUGAAGUGAAUCGUUUCAGUGUUAGUUAUUUGGUUAGGAUUAUAGGAGGUUUUUGAUUAAUAAUUGAAUUUUGUUUAUUAUGUUUGUAGUGAUUCACCUGCACAAAUACCUACAGUUUUGUUGUAAGCUAUUUUACAGUUUUUUUUUCUAUGAGUUAAUCUGAAACGACUCAAAUGAUUCACAAUGUCAAAAAAUGUUUUAAUUUUAAAAGUAUUAUUAAAUAAUGGAUAAUAUUAGUCGGCUGGGAUGCAGGGAAUAAUUUAGCUCCAUUAUAAGAAACUACCUUCAAACUCUUUUCAUCGGAUGGUGGCUGUAACGAACCUAAACAUUAAACAUUUAAUAUGUAGAAAUUACACCAGCAAUAAAGUGCGUCUUCAAACACACCUCCACCGAAA